GCAGGUUCGGGUCUCACGUAGUGAGACAACGGAGCCGCUUGCGGCGACGGCCCGAAGGGCGAGCGAAGCGAGUCAUCCUGCACGACCCACCA
rnacentral:sRNA from 5 species